rnacentral:rRNA from 1 species
UACGUAUGGGGCAAGCGUUAUCCGGAUUUACUGGGUGUAAAGGGAGCGUAGGCGGCCUGGCAAGCCUGAUGUGAAAUACCGGGGCCCAGCCCCGGGGCUGCAUUGGGAACUGCCAGGCUGGAGUGCCGGAGAGGCAGGCGGAAUUCCUAGUGUAGCGGUGAAAUGCGUAGAUAUUAGGAGGAACACCAGUGGCGAAGGCGGCCUGCUGGACGGUGACUGACGCUGAGGCUCGAAAGCGUGGGGAGCAAACAGG